rnacentral:rRNA from 1 species
CUACGGGCGGCACCAGUGGGGAAUAUUGGACAAUGGGGGAAACCCUGAUCCAGCAAUGCCGCGUGUGUGAAGAAGGCCUGCGGGUUGUAAAGCACUUUCGGUUGGGAGGACUGCCUCUAGCACUAAUAUUGUUGGAAGUUGACGUUACCUUCAGAAGAAGCACCGGCUAACUCCGUGCCAGCAGCCGCGGUAAUACGGAGGGUGCAAGCGUUAAUCGGAAUUACUGGGCGUAAAGCGCGCGUAGGCGGCUAGAUCAGUCGGGUGUGAAAGCCCCGGGCUUAACCUGGGAACUGCAUCCGAUACUGUCUAGCUUGAGUACAGGAGAGGAGAGUGGAAUUCCACAUGUAGCGGUGAAAUGCGUAGAUAUGUGGAGGAACACCAAUGGCGAAGGCAGCUCUCUGGCCUGAUACUGACGCUGAGGUGCGAAAGCAUGGGGAGCAAACAGGAUUAGAUACCCCAGUAGUC